CCUACGGGGGGCAGCAGUGGGGAAUAUUGGACAAUGGGGGCAACCCUGAUCCAGCCAUGCCGCGUGUGUGAAGAAGGCCCUCGGGUUGUAAAGCACUUUCAGUGAGGAAGAACGCCUGGUGGUUAAUACCCAUCAGGAAAGACAUCACUCACAGAAGAAGCACCGGCUAACUCCGUGCCAGCAGCCGCGGUAAUACGGAGGGUGCGAGCGUUAAUCGGAAUUACUGGGCGUAAAGCGAGCGUAGGUGGCUUGAUAAGCCGGUUGUGAAAGCCCCGGGCUCAACCUGGGAACGGCAUCCGGAACUGUCAAGCUAGAGUGCAGGAGAGGAAGGUAGAAUUCCCGGUGUAGCGGUGAAAUGCGUAGAGAUCGGGAGGAAUACCAGUGGCGAAGGCGGCCUUCUGGACUGACACUGACACUGAGGUGCGAAAGCGUGGGUAGCAAACAGGAUUAGAUACCCUAGUAGUC
rnacentral:rRNA from 1 species